AACGAACGCUGGCGGCAUGCCUAACACAUGCAAGUCGAACGAGACCUUCGGGUCUAGUGGCGCACGGGUGCGUAACGCGUGGGAACCUGCCCUUAGGUUCGGAAUAACUCCCCGAAAGGGGUGCUAAUACCGGAUAAUGUCUUCGGACCAAAGAUUUAUCGCCUUUGGAUGGGCCCGCGUUGGAUUAGCUAGUUGGUAGGGUAAAAGCCUACCAAGGCGACGAUCCAUAGCUGGUCUGAGAGGAUGAUCAGCCACACUGGGACUGAGACACGGCCGACUCCUACGGGAGGCAGCAGCGGGGAAUAUUGGACAAUGGGCGAAAGCCUGAUCCAGCAAUGCCGCGUGAGUGAUGAAGGCCUUAGGGUUGUAAAGCUCUUUUACCCGGGAUGAUAAUGACAGUACCGGGAGAAUAAGCUCCGGCUAACUCCGUG
rnacentral:rRNA from 1 species